rnacentral:tRNA from 2 species
GCCGGUGUGGCGAAAUGGCAGACGCGAUAGACUCAAAAUCUGUUGCCCGCAAGGGCGUGGGGGUUCGAGUCCCUCCACCGGCACCA